CCUACGUGAGGCAGCAGUGAGGAAUAUUGGUCAAUGGGCGAGAGCCUGAACCAGCCAAGUCGCGUGAAGGAUGACGGCCCUACGGGUUGUAAACUUCUUUUGUCAGGGAGCAAUUGGGUCCACGCGUGGGCUUAGCGAGAGUACCUGAAGAAAAAGCAUCGGCUAACUCCGUGCCAGCAGCCGCGGUAAUACGUAGGGGGCAAGCGUUACCCGGAUUUACUGGGUGUAAAGGGGGCGCAGACGGCAAUGCAAGCCAGGAGUGAAAGCCCGGGGCCCAACCCCGGGACUGCUCUUGGAACUGCAUGGCUGGAGUACAGGAGGGGCAGGCGGAAUUCCUAGUGUAGCGGCGAAAUGCGUAGAUAUUAGGAGGAACACCGGUGGCGAAGGCGGCCUGCUGGACUGUGACUGACGUUGAGGCCCGAAGGCGUGGGGAGCAAACAGGAUUAGAUACCCCGGUAGUC
rnacentral:rRNA from 1 species